rnacentral:piRNA from 1 species
UGCAGAGGAGUUGUAAGACAAUUUGCUGA